AGUCAAUAGAUACCCAGGUAGUCCUGGCUGUAAACGAUGACCCACUAGAUGCGGGAAGUAUCGACCCCUUCCGUGUCGCCGCUAACGCCAUAAGUGGCCCGCCUGGGGAGUACGGUCGCAAGACUAAAACUCAAAGAAAUUGACGGGGACCCGCACAAGCAGCGGAGCGUGUGGUUUAAUUCGAAGCAACGCGAAGCACCUUACCAGGGCUUGACAUGCUCUUGCACCGCUCGUCAUGGAGCGUCUCCUUCGGGAGCGGGAGCACAGGUGCUGCAUGGCUGUCGUCAGCUCGUGUCGUGAGAUGUUGGGUUAAGUCCCGCAACGAGCGCAACCUCUGUCGUUGGUUGCAGAUAUCCAGCGAGACUGCCGUGAACAACACGGAGGAAGGUGGGAAUGACGUCAAGUCAGCAUGGCCCUGACGUCCUGGGCGACACACACGCUACAAUGGCCGGUACAAUGGGAAGCCAACCCACGAGGGGAGCCAAUCUCAACAAAGCCGGUCUCAGUUCAGAUU
rnacentral:rRNA from 1 species